CUGUGCCUAUGAUGGGCUUAAAUAUACUAUGAGUUACUACUAUGAAAAGAACUUAAUCUGAGGCCACUU
rnacentral:snoRNA from 1 species